rnacentral:lncRNA from 1 species
UGAAAAGUAAAGGUAUUCCAGUCUGGGUUAAUUACUAUAUAUUCAUUAUUAUUAAUUACUUUCAUUAUUUAUUUUUCCUUACGAUUUUAAUAGCAAGGUAAUUUCACAGCAAUGAAUGAUGAGUCGCAUUUUGGCCACAAGGGGGUAGCAUGGGGUCACUAGAUGCUCACGGGAAAUUGGGUGGGGGGCGCCUGGUAAACAGUGGGAAAGACAGCAACAGCCACCACCUCUGACUCACAAAGGGCUCUUGCUUCUCACCGCGUUUCCUCAGAGAGUGUCGUGUUUGCUCCUCACCACAUGAGACCCAGAAAGCCAGCGGGUGGGGCAGGAGUUAUUGCCCCACUCAAGGGCCAGGAAAGGGAGGCUCCCCCUGGGAGGGUCAGUGUCAUGCGGGGUCACACGGUGGCAGAGGCAGGCGAAUUCCUGGCUCCUGCUGUAGUGCUCCUCCCUCGGAGCCCCAGACAACCCGGAUACUCUAAGCAGAUGGGACAGGGACCAAGAAGCAAAACCUCUCCUCAUAUUGUUGCCCAGCUCAGCCCUGCCAUGAGCACCCCAAAUCAUCGCUGGAGAGCCCCGCAGACCCCAAAGCACUGCUCGACUUUCCACCUCUGGGCAGAAGAGACCCUACAUUCCACGCGUGGGCCCUACCCCAGCCUCCCUCGGGGCCAAGCACGCCUUUGUUCGCUCUCUUCCUGACCACAGGCAGCACGAGCCUCUAGGUGGGAGAGACGAGACACUCGUUCCCCUCCCUUGGAAGCUGAGCAAUCACAUCAAAGGCAUACAAAAGGCAAUUCACUGUGCAAAGGGAACGGAAAGAAAUAAGUGCUCUAUGGGCUCUGAGCGCUCGGGAAGGAGGUACAGCAAAGAAGGAAAGGCCAGAAACAAAACCAAACAAAACACAAGGUAUAAAAUGAUCCGAUCUUGGGGAGGCGGUUUUCUACCUCCUGGGAGGAACACCCAGCGUGUUGCCUGGCUGAGUGUACUGGGCACAUGAAGAACAAUAGGCCUUUCUCUCCAGCAGCCGAGCACAUGCCAGGAGAAAAGGAGCCCCUUCUUAGGAAGGCUAAGUCCGCGCAGGGGCAGGGCCAGUGUAGGAAGCUAGUUUAUAACACAGAUACUUGCAUUGAGCCUCCUUCUGAAAAGGUGGGGGGCAGGGGGUGCAUAAACCCAUGUGAAAAUAAAAAAAAGACUUUUCUUACUGGAUGAGAGAAAAAAGAUUGUUCAGUUUUUUAGGCGAAACAUAAGAUGCCAACUGACCCUGAAAUAGAUGUGUCAAAAGGCAACCUGGGGCGGUUUGUUCUUUUACAGGAAGCACCUUUGUGGCCCAGAAGGUGCCAAAAACAUCCUGGGGAUAAGCAGUCCUUAGCAAAGAGGGGCCAGGCCUGAGGUGGGGGAGGUGGCCUUACACGGAAGCCCUGGAGAAGUGAAACAGGUAGGUGGGGGCCCCUGGGUGCUUCGGGUGCUCCAGGGACAGAGGUGGCAUCCACCCACUAAGCAGGGUCACUGGAUAGGCAGGAAUCCCUCCCCACUCACACGCAGAGUGACCCCAGUGCUGGUCUAGUUAGGCAGGCCCGACUGGAGGAGGAAUGACAGGCCUGCCACACAGAUGAGGAGUAGAGUCGCAGUUCAUCGUUUCUGGCUCUCCUCCGUCCCACCCCUGACCCCUCCACGGGAUUGGUGAGUGGAGGUGACAGUCUAGUCUAGAUUGGGAAGAGAGAGACUGAGAAACCAGACCGAGAAAAGGAAGGGCGCCCUUGGCAGAAUGCCUGGCAUUCCUGAGGCUGUGGAUUCUGUACCUUCCUGGGAGGAGGAGAGGCAUGGCAGUCACAAGCCACGGCUAUCCCCGGCAGAACCAGCCUGGCUGUGUUCAGGAACUCUGAUAGAGGAUGACUGACUUCAGAAUUGAAGAGGGCUUUUAGGAUGAUCUGAUCCUCUCCUGUUGGUACUAGAAGGGACUCUGGGGAAAACACAGUCAAACCCUGAU